rnacentral:rRNA from 1 species
UACAGAGGUCCCAAGCGUUGUUCGGAUUUACUGGGCGUAAAGGGUGCGUAGGUGGUGAGGUAAGUCUGAUGUGAAAUCUCCGAGCUUAACUCGGAAAUGGCAUUGGAAACUACCUUGCUAGGAGGGUGGGAGGGGACAUGAUACUUGGUGUAGCAGUGAAAUGCGUAGAUAUCAAGUGGAACACCAGUGGCGAAGGCGAGUCCCUGGACAACUCCUGACACUGAGGCACGAAAGCUAGGGGAGCAAACAGG